GCAUCGGUGGUUCAGUGGUAAAAUUCCCGCCUGCCACGCGGGGGACCCGGGCACAAUUCCCGGCCGAUGCA
rnacentral:tRNA from 1 species